rnacentral:rRNA from 1 species
UACGGAGGGUGCGAGCGUUGUCCGGAAUCACUGGGCGUAAAGGGCGCGUAGGCGGCCCUGGCAGUCGGUGGUGAAAGCCCGCGGCUCAACUGCGGGUCGGCCACCGAUACUCCAGGGCUCGAGUUUGGUAGAGGCAGAUGGAAUUCCGGGUGUAGCGGUGGAAUGCGUAGAGAUCCGGAAGAACACCGGUGGCGAAGGCGGUCUGACUGG